CCUACGGGAGGCAGCAGUGAGGAAUAUUGGUCAAUGGGCGCGAGCCUGAACCAGCCAAGUAGCGUGAAGGAUGACUGCCCUACGGGUUGUAAACUUCGUUUAUAAGGGAAUAAAGUUAGGCAAGGGUGCCUUUUUGUAUGUACUUUAUGAAGAAGGAUCGGCUAACUCCGUGCCAGCAGCCGCGGUAAUACGGAGGAUCCGAGCGUUGUCCGGAUUGAUUGGGUUUAAAGGGAGCGGAGAUGGGUUGUUAAGUCAGUUGUGAAAGUUUGCGGCUCAACCGUAAAAUUGCAAUUGAUACUGGCAGUCUUGAGUACAGUUGAGGUAGGCGGAAUUCGUGGUGUAGCGGUGAAAUGCUUAGAUAUCACGAAGAACUCCGAUUGCGAAGGCAGCUUACUAAACUGCCACUGACAUUGAUGCUCGAAAGUGUGGGUAUCAAACAGGAUUAGAUACCCCAGUAGUC
rnacentral:rRNA from 1 species